rnacentral:piRNA from 1 species
AAUCAACAUGCUGGCGGGAAAGAA